CAGAAGUUGCUUCUUAUUGGUGGAAUUUUUUUUUCUAUUUUUCGUUGUUAGGUUUCCUUUUGGUCACAGCCACUAAACAAUAAUUGCUACGUGUACGUGUUAUAUUCUCCUCCCACCUCUCGCUGCUUCCAAAUUACAAAUCGACAGAUAAUUUACCACCGCCUGAUUCCUCAAUACACCUUCUUUCCUCGACCGCCUCAUCUCACUCCAUUAAUCCUUCAGUUCCACUCUUCCAGUUUCUGUCUUUCGCUUCUGCUUCCGCCUCCGUCUUAGUCGUUGAAGUUUCAGGUCAACGUUACUGCUACCCAACCAAUCAACGAAAGGUUUUGUACAAGGGGCAUCUUCUUGCUGUAUUGAACUAUUUCACUUAUGAUCAAAUUGGUAUAGGAAUGCGUUUGGUGAAUUUACGUGAUCCUUUUGUCAACUACUUAUACACAAAGUACACAAAUUAUCAAUCAAUCAAUGGCAAAACACGAAGAUCUACUGGUUCCAAUCCACUCGAAACUUAAUGAGGCUUACGGUGAUGGAUCACAGGUUGAACAAGCUCAACUUCGUUUCUCCAUUCUCGAUUCCAAAUUCGAAGAAUUCAGUCAUCUUCCUCCUGACCUCUAUGCUCGCACUCCAGAAUGGAGAUGGAUUUUGUUUCAUCAUGAAUAUUGGUAAUUGAGAAGGUUAAAGAACACCUGGGAGAUAUAGACAACCCUAAACUGUCACUAUGGAGUACCCUAUUUUACAAUGUCAAGAACAUGAUGGAACUUGUCAUAUGAGAAAUUAAAUAAAUUUACCUAUCACAUCUACAAAUUUGGCAUAGGGUACCUUACUAACACUUCAUAAUUCAAGUCGUUCUUCAACAGUUGUUUCUCUUACUAUCUACUUUUCUAUAAGAACUUUAUUUGUGAAUCUGUACCAAUCUUAAAGAGAAUCA